GCGAGGUGGAGCGAAUCUCCAAAAAUUAGUCCCAGUUCAGAUUGCAGGCUGCAACUCGCCUGCAUGAAGUCGGAAUUGCUAGUAAUCGUGGAUCAGCAUGCCACGGUGAAUACGUUCCCGGGCCUUGUACACACCGCCCGUCACACCAUGGGAGUCGGUAACACCCGAAGCCUGUAGUCUAACCGCAAGGAGGACGCAGUCGAAGGUGGGAUUGAUGACUGGGGUGAAGUCGUAACAAGGUACC
rnacentral:rRNA from 1 species